rnacentral:rRNA from 1 species
GACGAACGCUGGCGGCGUGCUUAACACAUGCAAGUCGAACGGAAAGGCCCCUCUGGGGGUACUCGAGUGGCGCACGGGUGAGUAACACGUGAGUAACCUGCCCUUGACUUCGGGAUAACUUCAGGAAACUGGGGCUAAUACCGGAUAGGAAUCCUUGCUGCAUGGUGGGGGUUGGAAAGCUUCGGCGGUUUUGGAUGGACUCGCGGCUUAUCAGCUUGUUGGUGGGGUAGUGGCUUACCAAGGCUUUGACGGGUAGCCGGCCUGAGAGGGCGACCGGCCACAUUGGGACUGAGAUACGGCCCAGACUCCUACGGGAGGCAGCAGUGGGGAAUAUUGCACAAUGGGCGGAAGCCUGAUGCAGCAACGCCGCGGGCGGGAUGACGGCCUUCGGGUUGUAAACCGCUUUCAGCAGGGGCGAAGCUUGUGGUGACGGUACCUGCAGAAGAAGCACCGGCUAACUACGUG